UACGUAGGGGGCUAGCGUUGUCCGGAAUCAUUGGGCGUAAAGGGCGUGUAGGCGGCUUCGUGUGUCCCAUGUGAAAGCCCUCGGCUCAACCGGGGAACUGCAUGGGAAACUGCGGAGCUUGAGUCCGGGAGAGGUGAGUGGAAUUCCCAGUGUAGCGGUGAAAUGCGUAGAUAUUGGGAGGAACACCGGUGGCGAAGGCGGCUCACUGGACCGGUACUGACGCUGAGACGCGAAAGCCAGGGGAGCAAACGGG
rnacentral:rRNA from 1 species